GCUCAGCGAGGCCACAUGACCAGGAAGUGGCACAGCCAGGGUUUGAGCCCUGGGCCUCAGCCCCCUCCAUGCCCACCUCCUGCCUGCAGCUCCCGGAGCCUCUGCGGCACCCCAGGCUCCUGCUGACUCCCCCGGCAGCCCUGGAGAAUGCCUGCUGAGCAGCCUCGUGGGGGAUGGUUGAGGCUGGGUUUGAAUCCUGGCUUUGCUGCUGACCAGCCUGAACUCCCUGGUGGCCUCGGGCAAGUGUCCUCACCUCUCUGAGCCCACUUUCCUCCCAGGUUAUUUUUUGAGAGCUGCUAUGUGUCAAGUGUCAUACUGGGCUCUGGGGAUCCAGCUGUGGACAAGACAGACAAAGCCCUGUCUUCCUAGAUCCUGGCCUCAGAGAAGAAGAGAGACACUAAACAAAACAAUUAUGCCAACAAUCAUUUAACCAGCAAAGGUGUACACAGAUCGUGGAGGCUGCCCUGGUUGCAGGGGGAGGCAGGCCUGGGGCCCCUCCAAGGCCUGAUUUGAAACACCCUAGACCAGAUCACCUCUGAAGUUGUGAGUGUCAUCACCCUCAUGGCCCUGACACAGAGUAGGAUGGGCAAGGUGGGGAUUGGUUCUUGACGCAGGUAAAUCCUCCUGCCCCCUCACCCUAACAUCUUUAGCCUGACGAAGAUGUUGACAUUUUGUCCUACAGUAGAGGACCUAGGCCUGGGGCCACCUCUGACAGCCACAUAGCUGCCCACACUUCCAAGUUCCCUGGAUCUUCAGCCCCCAUCUGCUGAGCCCACCUCCACCUAUGCUGGGCUCUGGGACAGAUCUCAAUGAUGCAGAUGUGAAUCCGGCAAAGGGACGUGGCCCCCAUCAAUGACUGCCUUCUAACCCCGAUGGGGACUUUCCUUUUAUCCUGCAACUUGGCCUGUGUAGGGGGACUUUCCACUUUGGUUGUGGUAGGUAAAUAUUACUAAAGCUGAAAAAAAUCCCACUGAGAUCUGUUGGGGUUUUUAAGAAAAUAAAUUGUGAAGAAAUUCCUUAUUAAAAAUGUAACUGUGGUAAGAAAACAAUUAAGUGAAC
rnacentral:lncRNA from 10 species